UACUCAUCUGCCAUUUCAUCCCUGAUAGGAACUUGGAUUUCAAGGCCGCCACGCGAAGAUUCAGCCGUUUUCCAUUCUUUGACAGCGGCACCGAUGUUUUGGAAAAUAGAGUGGCAAAUCGCCAAGCUGAAAUGCAAGUGGGCCCAUGAAAGAUUGCGAAAGCCACGUAUUCAUGCUUCCACAGCCCUAGUACCUGGCGUGAAGAUUGGUGGCCAGCAUUUAAUCCUGCUGCUUCUGGAUCCAACGGCUGA
rnacentral:misc_RNA from 1 species